GACGUAGGGGGCGAGCGUUGUCCGGAUUUAUUGGGCGUAAAGCGUGCGUAGGCGGCUGCGCAAGUCGGUUGUGAAACCCCGGGGCUCAACCCCGGAACUGCAUCCGAUACUGCGUGGCUAGAGGUAGGUAGGGGAGAUCGGAAUUCCUGGUGUAGCGGUGAAAUGCGCAGAUAUCAGGAGGAACACCGGUGGCGAAGGCGGCGAUCUGGACGAUGACUGACGCUGAGACGCGAAAGCGUGGGGAGCAAACAGG
rnacentral:rRNA from 1 species